rnacentral:rRNA from 1 species
ACACGAACGUUAUUCGGAAUUACUGGGCUUAAAGGGUGCGUAGGCGGCGCGGUAAGUAGGGUGUGAAAUCCCUCGGCUCAACCGAGGAACUGCGCUCUAAACUACCGUGCUCGAGGGAGAUAGAGGUGAGCGGAACUUAGGGUGGAACGGUGAAAUGUGUUGAUAUCCUAAGGAACACCGGUGGCGAAAGCGGCUCACUGGAUCUCUUCUGACGCUGAGGCUCGAAAGCUAGGGUAGCGAAC